rnacentral:misc_RNA from 1 species
GAAGUGCGAUAAGCAGUGCGAAUUGCAGAAUUCCGCGAAUCAUCAGAUUUUUGAACGCAAGUUGCGCCGAGCAGUUCGCUGUUCGGCAUGCUUGUUUCAGUGUCGUAACAAUAAUAUAUCUUAAUGUGAUUGAUGUGAUGUGUGAGAUACUAUAUAAAAUUAGAGAAUUACACAUUACAUCUCUCAUGAAAUAAGAAUGUAUAUGUACUAAUACACAAUGAAGUAGUCACAUAUAUACUUUAUGUAUGUGUUGUGAUCUCAUUGAUGUUUUAUUAGUUACUAAAUAUGCAUAGAGAAGAAAUAUAUUUUACUAUAUAUCUCUAUCUCUCUCUUAUCAAAUGUUAUCUGAAAUCAAGCAAGAUUACCCGCUGAACUUAA